CUCUCCCCAUUCUUCCUCUAAACAACUUGGCUUUAGCAUCAAUUCCCCUGCCUCCAACAGGCCAGAUCAGAGGCUUUAUUCACAGAGACUAAAAGUACCUUGCCACAGGUCAGCAAGCAUGGUGUCGCUUCGAGUUGAAUUUGACUACACUGCCAGGCUGGCUAAAAAGUGCAAAAUUUGGAUCUGGCUUUCAAACCCCUCUCAGUUUGAUAUUCUGUAAAGCAUCCCAAUUCAGGUGUUUGCAAAAUAAAUCUGUGACUUCAAGAAAGAAAUCA
rnacentral:lncRNA from 1 species